rnacentral:tRNA from 1 species
UAAAUUUUAGUUUAAAUUUAAAAAUAUUUUUUUUACAAAAAAAAGACAAUUUAUUAAAAUUAAAUUUUA